rnacentral:rRNA from 1 species
UCUAGUGGUGGUGAAGCGGACAACCAAAGCCCUGGUCAAUGGCGGCUGUAACUAUAACGGUGGUAGAUAUAUAUCUACUUGCUACAAGAUAUAGGGCCGUUGUAAAAUCUAGCCAUAUGCAGGAACAUCCCAAGAGACACAAAUACCAAAUUGGUAAAAAGUUUGUUGUCUGGGACGACCAGCAGGAAAGGCUUGUAAGAAGUAUCUUUAACCCUUCAGAAGAUUUAUGUUGGUUUUUAUCUGGAUUUGUUGAUGGAGAGGGAAGUUUUUGCUUAAAUGUCAAAAGCACUUCUAAAUCAAAAUUUAAGUUCAGAAUAGAUCCAGCAUUUUAUCUUUAUCAGCAUGAGAGAAAUAAAUGGAUACUGUAUGUUAUGAAAGAUGUCUUAGGAGAAGGAUCAAUUCAUAGAAAGACAUCUCCGUAUUCAGUAUUUACUUAUCAAUUAGCGGGUAUUUCUCCUUGCUACAAGAGGGUUUUGCCAUUCUUUGAAAAAUACCAACUUGCCACAAAGAAAAAAGCAUUUGAUUUGUUUAGUAGAGGUGUUACAUUAAUGUAUAAUGGUGAACAUCACACUAAGAAAGGUUUUAUCAAAUUGUUGGAUAUUGCAUAUGAAAUAAAUCAAGUUGGAAAAGGAAAGAAAUGGUCAAAAGAAGAAAUUCUUACAAGAAUCCCCAGAGACUAAAUGCUAGACAGUCAAUUUUGACUGAAGAGAUAGUCCGACCUCUGCAGUAAUGUAGAGAUCAUCUUUAAAGAUGACGCCUUUAUUACUUUGGUAUUAGGUAAUAAAUGGUUAAAAAGUAACAGGAAGCCUAAGGUAGCGUAAUACCUCGUCACUUAAUUAGUGACUUGCAUGAAAGGCGUAACGACUCUUCCACUGUCUCGACAGCGCGCUCGGUGAAAUUGAAAUGGCUGUGAAGAUGCGGCCUACCCAUACCAGGACAAAAAGACCCCGUGGAGCUUUACUGCAGCUUUGCAUUGAAAUAAAGCCUCGGAUGAAUAGAAUAGGUGGGAGACUAUGAAGCCGUUUCGUCAGGAAUGGUGGAGUCGCAAUAUGUAAUACCACUCUUUUGAUGUUUUAUUUCUAACUUUUUUCUUUAUCAGAAAAACGGACAGUGCAUGGUAGGCAGUUUGACUGGGGCGGUUGCUUGCUAAAGAGUACCGCAAGCGCACAAAGGUCUCCUCAAUCCGGAUGGAAAUCGGAUGGAGAGUGCAUGAGCAUAAGGAGGCUUUACUGUGAGGAAGACAUUCCGAUCAGUUACGAAAGUAGGUUCAAGUGACCCUUUCGCAGAAUGUGGAAUCGCGAUUGUUUAACGAAGAUAAGCUACCCCGGGGAUAACAGGCUGGUGGUGCCCGAUAGUUCACAUUGACGGCACCGUUCGGCACCUCGAUGUCGGCUCGUCACAUCCUGGGGUUGGAUAAGACCCCAAGGGUUCGACUGUUCGUCGAUUAAAGUGGCACGCGAGCUGGGUUCAGACCGUCGUGAGCCAGGUCGGUCUCUAUCCGGUAUGGGCGUUGUAUAUUUGAGGAAAUUGACCCUUAGUACGAAAGGAUCAGGGUGAGGUAACCUCUAGUGCACCAGUUGUUCUACCAAGAGCAUUGCUGGGUAGCUAAGUUGCUUUAGGAUAAAUACUGAAAGCAUAUAAGUAUGAAGCCUUUUCCAAGAUUAAAUAUACUUGCAUAGCUUGACUAUGCUGAAGGUUCGUGGGAGACUACCACGUUGAUAGGCUCUAGGUGUAAGCAUAGUAAUAUGUUUAGCCAAGGAGUACUAAUAGACCAAACGCUUCAUCA